GCCAAAAAUAUAGCCCUCCUCAACAACCAAUGAACUUUCACACUUUAUCUUUUAAAUUAAAACAUUCUAUAGGUCUAGUAAAGGCGAUUAAAAAACCUCAUUGAGAGCAUAAAAGUACCGCAAGGGAAAACUGAAAUAAAAAUGAAAUAAAUAUUAAGCACAAAAUAGUAGAGACUAAUUCUCGUACCUUUUGCAUCAUGGUUUAACAAGUCUAAUCAAGCACAAUGACUUAUAGUUUGACUUCCCGAAACUAAGUGAGCUACUUCAGGGCAGCUUAUUGAGCAAACCCGUCUCUGUUGCAAAAGAGUGGCAAGACCCUUAAGUAGAAGUGACAAGCCUAACGAACUUAGUGAUAGCUGGUUAUUCAAGAAAAAGAUUUUAGUCCCACCUAAAGCUUUAAUAAUUUAACAAAAUAAAAUUUCAACUUUAGAGUAAUUCAAAUAGGGUACAGCCUAUUUGAAACAGGAUACAACCUAAACUAAUGGGUAAUACUUUAUUCACGUAAUCAAGUGGGCCUAAAAGCAGCCAACUUUAAGAUAGCCUCAAAGCUCCAUUUCCCUCCCCCAAAAAAUUUCCUAAAGUAAGCCGAACCCUUUAAUUCUAUUGAAUAGUUCUAUAUUGUUAUAGAAUUUAUAAUGUUAAAACUAGUAACAAGAAGAAGACCUUCUCUUAAAUGCAAGUAUAAAUCAGCAAGGACCCACCACUGAUAAUUAACACACAUGAAAUUAUAUUAGCAACCCCCCUCAAGAAAAUCCUAAUAAAUUCUAUGUUAACCUAACACAAGAGCAUUAAAAGAAAGAUUAAAAAAAAAAGAAGGAACUCGGCAAACAAUGACCCCGCCUGUUUACCAAAAACAUCGCCUCUUGAAUAAAUAUAAGAGGUCCAGCCUGCCCAGUGAUUUAUUUAACGGCCGCGGUAUCUUAACCGCGCGAAGGUAGCAUAAUCAAUUGUUCUUUAAAUGGGGACUUGUAUGAAUGGCACCACGAAGGUUGUACUGUCUCCUUUUUUUAAUCAGUGAAACUAAUCCCCCCGUGAAGAAGCGGGAAUAAAAAUAUAAGACGAGAAGACCCUAUGGAGCUUCAAACUAAAUAACAAAUAUUGUACCCCUUUUAAUUUUUCAGAGUAAAAACCUUUAUUUUUAUAUUAUGAUUAUUAGUUUUAGGUUGGGGUGACCGCGGAGUACAAUCCAACCUCCGCACUGAAAGAAUUCACUUCUGAACUAAGAGCUACAACUCUAAGUACCAAUAAAUUGACACCAUUUGACCCAAUAUUUUGACCAACGAACCAAGUUACCCUAGGGAUAACAGCGCAAUCCACUUCAAGAGACCCUAUCAAAAAGUGGGCUUACGACCUCGAUGUUGGAUCAGGGUAUCCCAGUGGUGCAGCCGCUACUAAAGGUUCGUUUGUUCAACGAUUAAAACCCU
rnacentral:rRNA from 1 species